rnacentral:lncRNA from 1 species
ACAUCACGCCCGGAAGGAAGCGGGCUGCGUUGGAGGGGAAAAGACGCACCAGCAGCCUAGAAUUCGAGGCACUGCAGAGCCGGAAGGGGCCUCGGCGCUGCUCCCUCCGCCCCCUCAUUUCACAAACCGGAAACUGAGACCCAAAGCAAGGAAGGGACUUGGCCAAGGUCAGAGCUCACCUGGGACCACACGAAGAUGAUAACUUGCUAGGAGUUUUGCAAAUGGGUUUGUCUACAGUUUGGUAGAAUUAAAACAUUGUUUUUAGUUCAGAUUUGCAACAGUGGCCGGCUCCCUCUAAUCCACAGUGGUGGAGCACUGUGAUUGACAUUCAGCUGCAAAGCUCUUGCUGGGAAACGCGGUGGCCGAGCCGUCAGCACAGGCGGCAGCUGCCUCCCACACUUAAGACAGGACUUCUAAAGCCACAGUCCCUCAAACGGCAGGCAGGUUUGUGAAUGUUUCCGUGUUCUGAACAUUUUUCUGCAAAAGGGUUCACAGCUUUAAUUGAUUUACAAAGAGACGUACACCAUGGAAGAGAUUGAGAAUCAUUUCCUUAAAGCAACAAGAAUCUAGGCUGGGGAGAAAUCAGAUUUUAGGAACGAGCUGCUAGGCACCGUAGCAGCAUUCAGAGACAUGAAAGCAUUGGAUUGUUUCCUAGAUUUAAGAGCAUAUAUUUUGCAACAUGAAAGGGCUUCUAUGCUCUAGAAUGUAAGUUCCUCAAGGAUAGGGGUCUAGUCUAUCUCUUCACCUAAGGUAUCCUUAGAUCCUGGAUCAGUGCCUGCGCGUAAUCACAGGUGCGAACACACAUGUGAUUAAUUUGUUAGUCUGCACAGCACUUCCCUUUCCAUGCCCACUCCUGCCUGGUCUCCAGCAGUCGUCAGAAUUGCCAUCGUUAAGGAAACCCUGAUGCAAGAAUUGCAAGAAUGACUCUGUUUGUUUGUUUGUUUGUUUGUUUGUUUAUUAAGACGGAGUCUCGCUCUGUCGCCCAGGCUGGAAUGCAGUGGCGCGAUCUCGGCUCACUGCAAACUCCACCUACCGGGUUCACGCCAUUCUCCUGCCUCAGCCUCCCGAGUAGCUGGGACUACAGGCGCCCGCCUGCGCGCCCGGCUAAUUUUUUGUAUUUUUAGUAGAGACGGGGUUUCACCGUGUUAGCCAGGAUGGUCUCGAUCUCCUGACCUCGUGAUCUGCCCGCCUCGGCCUCCCAAAGUGCUGGGGUUACAGGCGUGAGCCACCGCGCCCGGCCAAGAAUGACUUUGUAAAUCAGUGUUGACAUUCAGGACCUUUUUCAUUUCGUGUUAAAGACUGAUCACCCUGGGAAAAUCAAGGCAGUCCAGCCAAACCCCAACUCCCAAUCAAAUGCAGUUUGUAUCGAACCCCACGACUGCCCAGCACCUUUGGGAAGCCCAUUGCUUUCUAUGCAGACGCAGAGCUCCCAGAAAGCACAGGUGGAUGUGCUCAGCUUGCCUUGUGACGUGAAUGCCUGAAAACAGAACAGGACUAAAAA